rnacentral:rRNA from 1 species
ACGAACGCUGGCGGCGUGCCUAACACAUGCAAGUCAACUUGACUGAAGGAGCAAUCUGACAGUAGAGUGGCGCAAGGGCGCGUAACGCGUAAGUAACUUGCCCAAGGUAAGGAAUAACGUCGAGAAAUCGGCGCUAAUACCUCAUAAUGCAGCGGAUCCGCAUGGAUAUGUUGUUAAAGGUUUACCGCCUUGGGAUAGGCUUGCGUCUGAUUAGUUAGUUGGUGUGGUAACGGCACACCAAGGCUACGAUCAGUAACUGGUCUGAGAGGAUGAUCAGUCACACUGGAACUGAGACACGGUCCAGACUCCUACGGGAGGCAGCAGUGAGGAAUAUUGGGCAAUGCUCGAAAGAGUGACCCAGCAACGCCGCGUGGAGGAUGAAGGUAUUCUAUAUCGUAAACUCCUGUUGAGAGCAGACGAAAGACAGAUUAUUAAUCUGGAUGACUGUAUGCUCAGAGGAAGCCCGGCGUAACUACGUG